rnacentral:rRNA from 1 species
UACGAAGGGGGCUAGCGUUGUUCGGAAUUACUGGGCGUAAAGCGCACGUAGGCGGAUCUUUAAGUCAGGGGUGAAAUCCCGAGGCUCAACCUCGGAACUGCCUUUGAUACUGGGGAUCUCGAGUCCGGGAGAGGUGAGUGGAACUGCGAGUGUAGAGGUGAAAUUCGUAGAUAUUCGCAAGAACACCAGUGGCGAAGGCGGCUCACUGGCCCGGAACUGACGCUGAGGUGCGAAAGCGUGGGGAGCAACAGG